rnacentral:lncRNA from 1 species
AAAAAAAAAAAAGAAAAAAAUAAUCAUUUCACUUUGGUGUCAGGACAGUGGCAGUUUGUGGAUCAUGGACACUUAUAUAUUCUAUCACUUAUAAGUUAAUGCUAUGAAAUAUCUUUAAGACACACACACAUACACACACACACACACACACACACACACACACACAAAAUGUGGGCACGCACACAAACACACGCUCAGACACACAGACACACACAGACACACACACAUGAGGCAGCUUGGAAAAGGGACAUGAGCACAGAAAGUCAGUGACCAGUGACGAUGGACCUAAAUGCCUGCCAGUACGAGUGAACGGCUGAGCAGCUGUUUCCCCGCCUGCCGGCAAAGCCAGACCGAAAUGAGCUCCCUUUGCUCAGGCAAAAGCACAGACUGUGAGAACACAACGUAUUCUUGCACGCAGGUGUCAAAAUGACCAAACUUAGAAAACUAAAAAAAAACAAACAAGAAAAAAAAAAAGUCGACUGUCACCUCUUAGGUCUAACAGGAAGCUGCAGGACACCUGCCUUGGGAGGCUAUCACUUCCUCUUAAUUUAAAUUUAUCUAAACAUAAACAUCACAGAUACCCACUUCUUGCUACAGCACUUCCAGCAAGGAAUCCUGUGGUUCCAUCGGGGGGAGAGAGAGAGAGAAAAGGGGGCAGACAUGUUAGAAACUGCUGUAUUUCUAACUCCUGGCCGUUGCGGAGUCACAAGCUGGGCUGGCGUGAUCCGAUGCUUUUACUGCCCACUAGCAACCCAUGGUUGGCUACACCCGCCGUGUCUUGGAAGAGGGAAUCGAUACCAUAUCUGGACUGUGUUGACUGUUGGCAUCUCUCACUGUGCAAAGAACAAAAAGUCAAAAGUUGCAAUCUGUGUUCUUCAGUGGGGGACUCGGCAAGGCUACGUCACGUGGGGGACGAGCAAACAAGCAAUGGCCACCACGGCUAAACCAAUGAACCCUAAAGAGGAGUGACAGCGACAGAGUGGAGACGUUCUGGGAAAUGCAGUGCAUUUAAUAACAGGCGAGGAGCAUUUUUACAAGUCUUGGAAAGGAGGAGAGAGGAGAGUGCUUUCAAUUUCCUUACCAGGAGGUGUCAAGGAUGGCCAUAAAGAUCAGAAAAUAAUGAUACAGCAUAGCACUUGCAAACUGCUUGAAUGCACGUAUAAUAGCACUUGCAAAUUUCAAUGCCUUGAAAAGUGGUACUUGAUAGUGCACUUAUCUUUGCUCACUAUCUAGGUAAACAGGUGCCGCAUGAGCUAUGCAAUUUAAAGUGUUGACCCAUACUAGACAAAACUGGACUUAUGAUAUGACUUUUUUAUAUUUUUUUAUACUUGAAAUUAAAUCUUUUGCUUCUUUUUUAAAGCGAAUGAUUGCUUUUAAUGUUUGCACUGAUUUAGUUGCAUGAUUAGUCAAAAACUGCCAUUUGAAAAAAAAUGUUAUUUUUAUAGCAGCAAAAAAUGAAUACAGUUAAAUGUAUUAUACAGAAAUUUUGGAACCAAAGAGGCCAACAUAUUAGUUAUAAUUUUUAUGAGAUGGCAAAGCCAUCAUAUAUCAUGUAGUCAUACUGAGCAAUCCCUCACAAGGCCUACCAAUUGUUUCAGGGUACAAAAUGGAUUCUGUUUGUUCUAUUCAGUGUCUUUUCUAUACCAUACGCACAUGGAAUGUAGAGUGAAAAAAAAGUGACUAUUGUAGAAUACAUUACAAUAUGUGCAUCCUUUAAAUCCAAUUUUUAUGUUUAUUUAAUAAAGUUCCUUUUAGGUUCUGUUCCAUAAUAAUUUAAACCAAACAAUUUUCACUUAGAUUUGCUGUUGAAGUAUUUUACAUUUGUGUACAGUUUAAAUAAAUAAAAAAGAUUGAAAACU